UACGUAGGGGGCAAGCGUUGUCCGGAUUUAUUGGGCGUAAAGAGCUCGUAGGCGGCUUAGUAAGUCGGGUGUGAAAACCCCAGGCUCAACCUGGGGACGCCACCCGAUACUGCUAUAGCUAGAGUCCAGUAGGGGAGUGUGGAAUUCCCAGUGUAGCGGUGAAAUGCGCAGAUAUUGGGAGGAACACCAGCGGCGAAGGCGGCACUCUGGGCUGGUACUGACGCUGAGGAGCGAAAGCGUGGGUAGCGAACAGG
rnacentral:rRNA from 1 species